rnacentral:rRNA from 1 species
ACACUCCUGCGGGAGGCAGCAGUGGGGAAUUUUGGACAAUGGGCGAAAGCCUGAUCCAGCCAUGCCGCGUGCAGGAUGAAGGCCUUCGGGUUGUAAACUGCUUUUGUACGGAACGAAACGGCCUUUUCUAAUAAAGAGGGCUAAUGACGGUACCGUAAGAAUAAGCACCGGCUAACUACGUGCCAGCAGCCGCGGUAAUAAGUAGGGUGCAAGCGUUAAUCGGAAUUACUGGGCGUAAAGCGUGCGCAGGCGGUUAUGUAAGACAGUUGUGAAAUCCCCGGGCUCAACCUGGGAACUGCAUCUGUGACUGCAUAGCUAGAGUACGGUAGAGGGGGAUGGAAUUCCGCGUGUAGCAGUGAAAUGCGUAGAUAUGCGGAGGAACACCGAUGGCGAAGGCAAUCCCCUGGACCUGUACUGACGCUCAUGCACGAAAGCGUGGGGAGCAAACAGGAUUAGAAACCCGGGUAGUCC